GAUGAACGCUGGCGGCGUGCCUAAUACAUGCAAGUCGAGCGAACAGACGAGGAGCUUGCUCCUCUGACGUUAGCGGCGGACGGGUGAGUAACACGUGGAUAACCUACCUAUAAGACUGGGAUAACUUCGGGAAACCGGAGCUAAUACCGGAUAAUAUAUUGAACCGCAUGGUUCAAUAGUGAAAGACGGUUUUGCUGUCACUUAUAGAUGGAUCCGCGCCGCAUUAGCUAGUUGGUAAGGUAACGGCUUACCAAGGCAACGAUGCGUAGCCGACCUGAGAGGGUGAUCGGCCACACUGGAACUGAGACACGGUCCAGACUCCUACGGGAGGCAGCAGUAGGGAAUCUUCCGCAAUGGGCGAAAGCCUGACGGAGCAACGCCGCGUGAGUGAUGAAGGUCUUCGGAUCGUAAAACUCUGUUAUUGGGGAAGAACAAAUGUGUAAGUAACUAUGCACGUCUUGACGGUACCUAAUCAGAAAGCCACGGCUAACUACGU
rnacentral:rRNA from 1 species